CUGUUUUCUUCCAUUAUUCUGUAGCACAUGUUGACAUCAGUGUAAGUGUUGCUCUACAUCAGUAGCAAAUAGAAAGAAAAAGAAGAAGAAAUUUAAACUGUCCAAUAAAUCCAAGGUUCAGCUUACCAAUCACAGUGGGUUCCAGAUCAACAAAGAUGGCACGUGGAACAUGUUUUCCUGCUCCAGUCUCACUGAAGAAGGUGUUGAAGGAAUCGUCUCCUCCUCCUAUUGUCUUAUCACUGGGCAUCUGUCC